rnacentral:rRNA from 1 species
UUUAGGUAGCGCCUCGUGAAUUCAUCUCCGGGGGUAGAGCACUGUUUCGGCUAGGGGGCCAUCCCGGCUUACCAACCCGAUGCAAACUGCGAAUACCGGAGAAUGUUAUCACGGGAGACACACGGCGGGUGCUAACGUCCGUCGUGAAGAGGGAAACAACCCAGACCGCCAGCUAAGGUCCCAAAGUCAUGGUUAAGUGGGAAACGAUGUGGGAAGGCCCAGACAGCCAGGAUGUUGGCUUAGAAGCAGCCAUCAUUUAAAGAAAGCGUAAUAGCUCACUGGUCGAGUCGGCCUGCGCGGAAGAUGUAACGGGGCUAAACCAUGCACCGAAGCUGCGGCAGCGACACUGUGUGUUGUUGGGUAGGGGAGCGUUCUGUAAGCCUGUGAAGGUGUGUCGUGAGGCAUGCUGGAGGUAUCAGAAGUGCGAAUGCUGACAUAAGUAACGAUAAAGCGGGUGAAAAGCCCGCUCGCCGGAAGACCAAGGGUUCCUGUCCAACGUUAAUCGGGGCAGGGUGAGUCGACCCCUAAGGCGAGGCCGAAAGGCGUAGUCGAUGGGAAACGGGUUAAUAUUCCCGUACUUGGUGUUACUGCGAAGGGGGGACGGAGAAGGCUAUGUUGGCCGGGCGACGGUUGUCCCGGUUUAAGCGUGUAGGUGUGUGUUCCAGGUAAAUCCGGUUCACUUUAACACUGAGGCGUGACGACGAGGCACUACGGUGCUGAAGCAACAAAUGCCCUGCUUCCAGGAAAAGCCUCUAAGCAUCAGGUAACAUCAAAUCGUACCCCAAACCGACACAGGUGGUCAGGUAGAGAAUACCAAGGCGCUUGAGAGAACUCGGGUGAAGGAACUAGGCAAAAUGGUGCCGUAACUUCGGGAGAAGGCACGCUGACACGUAGGUGAAGUGAUUUACUCAUGGAGCUGAAGUCAGUCGAAGAUACCAGCUGGCUGCAACUGUUUAUUAAAAACACAGCACUGUGCAAACACGAAAGUGGACGUAUACGGUGUGACGCCUGCCCGGUGCCGGAAGGUUAAUUGAUGGGGUCAGCGCAAGCGAAGCUCCUGAUCGAAGCCCCGGUAAACGGCGGCCGUAACUAUAACGGUCCUAAGGUAGCGAAAUUCCUUGUCGGGUAAGUUCCGACCUGCACGAAUGGCGUAAUGAUGGCCAGGCUGUCUCCACCCGAGACUCAGUGAAAUUGAACUCGCUGUGAAGAUGCAGUGUACCCGCGGCAAGACGGAAAGACCCCGUGAACCUUUACUAUAGCUUGACACUGAACAUUGAGCCUUGAUGUGUAGGAUAGGUGGGAGGCUUUGAAGUGUGGACGCCAGUCUGCAUGGAGCCGACCUUGAAAUACCACCCUUUAAUGUUUGAUGUUCUAACGUGGACCCGUUACCCGGGUUGCGGACAGUGUCUGGUGGGUAGUUUGACUGGGGCGGUCUCCUCCUAAAGAGUAACGGAGGAGCACGAAGGUUGGCUAAUCCUGGUCGGACAUCAGGAGGUUAGUGCAAUGGCAUAAGCCAGCUUGACUGCGAGCGUGACGGCGCGAGCAGGUGCGAAAGCAGGUCAUAGUGAUCCGGUGGUUCUGAAUGGAAGGGCCAUCGCUCAACGGAUAAAAGGUACUCCGGGGAUAACAGGCUGAUACCGCCCAAGAGUUCAUAUCGACGGCGGUGUUUGGCACCUCGAUGUCGGCUCAUCACAUCCUGGGGCUGAAGUAGGUCCCAAGGGUAUGGCUGUUCGCCAUUUAAAGUGGUACGCGAGCUGGGUUUAGAACGUCGUGAGACAGUUCGGUCCCUAUCUGCCGUGGGCGCUGGAGAACUGAGGGGGGCUGCUCCUAGUACGAGAGGACCGGAGUGGACGCAUCACUGGUGUUCGGGUUGUCAUGCCAAUGGCACUGCCCGGUAGCUAAAUGCGGAAGAGAUAAGUGCUGAAAGCAUCUAAGCACGAAACUUGCCCCGA